rnacentral:rRNA from 1 species
AACGAACGCUGGCGGCAUGCCUAACACAUGCAAGUCGAACGAGACCUUCGGGUCUAGUGGCGCACGGGUGCGUCACGCGUGGGAACCUGCCCGUAGGCUCGGAAUAACUCUUCGACAGGGGUGCUAAUAUCGGGUAAUUUACUCGAACACAAGAUUCAUCGCCCUUGGGUGGGCGCGCGUUGUUUUAGCUUGUUGGUAGGGGAAAAGCCUAUGAAGGCGUCGAUCCAUAGCUGGUUUGAGAGGAAGAUCCGCCACGCUGAGGCUGAGACCCGGCCCAGACUCUUACGCGAGGGAGCAGUGGGGGAUAUUGGACAACGGGCUAAAGCAUGAUCCAGUUAUGCCGCGUGAGUGAUUAAGGCCUGAGGGAUAUAAAGCUCUUUUACCCGGGGUGAUAAUGACGGUACCGGGAGAAUAAGCACCGGCUAACUUCGUG